CCUCUUUUCAUCCCAGUCGUCUCCUCCUUCCUCUCUUCUCCAGCGUCCGAUCCCCUUUUCACCUCUCUCCAGCCCUCCCCCAAAUCCCAUCCCAUCUCUCUCGCUCUCUCUCUUUCCGCGCUGCGCGCGCGCCAAAUACAAAUCUCCCCCAACCAAUCCAAACGCUCGGAUCUCAGGGUUUUCCGGCCGAUGGCGGAGGCACCGGCGAGCCCCGGCGGCGGCGGUGGAGGAAGCCACGAUAGCGGCGGCGAGCAGAGCCCCCGAUCCACCGUCCGCGAGCAGGAUCGCUUCCUCCCCAUCGCCAACAUCAGCCGCAUCAUGAAGAAGGCCCUCCCCGCCAACGCCAAGAUCGCCAAGGACGCCAAGGAGACCGUCCAGGAGUGCGUCUCCGAGUUCAUCAGCUUCAUUACCAGCGAAGCGAGCGAUAAGUGCCAGAGGGAGAAGAGGAAGACGAUCAAUGGCGAUGAUUUGCUCUGGGCGAUGGCGACGUUGGGAUUCGAAGAUUACAUCGAGCCGCUGAAGUUGUACCUACAGAAAUAUAGAGAGAUGGAGGGUGAUAGUAAGUUAUCUGCAAAAGGUGGAGACAGCUCUGCUAGGACAGAUGCAGCAGGCCCUCAAGCUGGAAAUCAACCUGGUACAAGUACCCAAGGGGUAUCACAGAUGGGUCAACAAGGAUCUUUUACUCAAGGAAUGAACUAUAUGCAACCUCAGUGUAUCUCGCACAAGUAGGAGAGGAAAAUGGAUAGUCAUGAAGUUGAUGGGAUAUGUGUUACAUGGAAAAAAUGAUGUAUUGUGACAGGAGUGUCAAACAUAUGAGUCCUGUGAUCGUGGGACUUCAGAUCCAUAAUGGGGAUAUCUCAAGCUGAAUGAUUAUUGGCCUAUUUCUGCUAGCUGUUCUCUAUUUCAGUAAUUGGCAAGGAAUCAAAGUCUUCAUGGAAAGAACUGACUUGCUGGGUCUACAGGCUAUAUCUCUGCUAAAACUGAUGACAGAUCGUCUGAAGCAUACUAGUACCAUCUUCUUUUGGUUUGUAAAUUAAUUUGAAUAAAAUAAUCUAUACUUUGGGCGGUGUUCAGAAUCAUGCUCCAUAUUUGUCUUCUUUGUUGCGCACAUACGGAUGUCAUAUUUACUGUUUGUUGGUUUCCUUUAGCUAAAAUAAAUAUUUGAUGGUCAUAUUGCUUUAGUCAA